UCCAGGGACGAACGCAUCACGGCCUGUCCAAGCAGAACCCUCGUCUCUCCCGGUCGCCCCCCUCGCACAGCGACUCCUCUGCGGCUCUGCCCGACCCCAACACCCAGCCCGCCAGCCGUCGCGGCUUCGCCGGUCGCCGGCUGGAGCCCGGAGUUCAACCGUCCAGGAGGCUCCCGCCUCCCCUCUUCCCGGCUUCCCGCCUGGCCGCCCGGUCCAGCCGUGCCCCUGCGGACUGCGGUCCUGGCGUCCCGCCUCCCCUUUUUGGCGCCCCGUCGGCCCGGCCGCCCCCCUUCAAAGCCCCACCAUGUCGGCAAACUCCUGACCGAUUUAAGAAUUAUUGAAGAAUGAAGAGGGCCGGAGACAUUGUUUCUCUUUUCCAGAGAGAAGCUAUUAAGAUAGGGAAGAAGAAGAAGGCAGGGAAUAUGUCGGAUGUGGCCAAAGAGCAAACUCAUGAACCAACAAGGUCUAUGUCGAAUGUGACUGUAGAGCAAACGGAAGAGCAUUUUCUGCCAUGAGUUUGGUCAAGAGCAAGUUGAGAAAAUAAGAUGGGUGAUAGUCUUUUGGAUGAUUGGCUAGUGACAUACUUUGAGAGGGGCGCUUUCUCCCAGGUGAAUGAAGAUGAUAUAAUUGAUAGCUUCAUGGCAAUGCAAAAGCGUAGGCCAGAAACAGUCUUUUUGAACUUGUCAAGGCUGGCAUCGGUGUUAAUAAAUUACACGGAGAAAAGAAAAGGACAACAAGAGAAAUUUCGGUUUGUUUGCUUUAUUGGGAAAACAAUAAAAAAUGUCUUUUGUAACAAAGGUAAAACAAAAUAGCAAAAAAGAGUGUUUGUUUAGUUUAUCGCCUUCUGCAGCAAAGAAAAAAAAUCACAAAAAAACUUCGCUUGUUGGUUUUGUUCUCUUUUGUAACAAAGUAGAAAUGAAAAUUAAAAAAAAAAAGUUUAGUUGCUUUGUGGAAUCGAGUAGCGUUUACUCGCAGAAAAAAAACUCCAAAAAAAGGGUCUUCACCUUUUCGUACCGUUUAUGUUGUGUGUGUAUUUGAGUUUGUUUCUUGGGUUUGGGGGUCAGGUGUCUGUAUAUAUGUGUUUUUCAGUUGGAAGGGGGUGGGGGUGGUGUAACUCUGCCUAUGCUAAUAUGAUGUUACACUUCAUGUUGCAUAGCCGGUCCCAAGCCCGGAAAGAGGAGGAGGGACCAAACAUCUACUCAUUAACCAAAUGUGGUGACCAUUUUAUGUUCUUACGGUUGAUUGUAUCCUUUAUUUGUAGUGUUUGUACUUUAUUUGUCUUAAGUACCUUGUUCGAGUAUAUAACAUCUUAGUUCAGCAUACCUAGUGGUUCAGGGUUGACUAUUUCUGAACAGUCAAGGGCUUAUUUGUAAACAAAUCGUUCCCCAAGGAAUAAUGCCAAGAAGACAAGCACCUGGUUUCCUUUCUAGGCUCUCUCUGCCACACAAAUCCUUGGCUCCUUUUUGAUGUCUCGGAGAGAACAUCUCAGCCAAGUAUUUUUUUUUUUGUAUGUGCAGUAGUCUCAGCAGAAAAAGACUUCUAACGUCAUCUGGAAAAUUAACUUCAUGAUCAUUUCUUAGUCUCGCUCUGAAAGGCUUUUACGAGGUUAGUUUCACGAGUAAUUACUCGUUUCUUGACAGAACCAGAGUAUGCAGCUUCAGAUAAUGAAUACAUGGUUACUCUUUGGAAAUAAAUGAAGCACUACUUCUAUGGAAGUGGAGUGGAGUAUAUAUAUUUCUUCCUUCUCUGGCCCAAUGGUUUCUUUGAGUUUCAUUUCCAUUUAAUGUUAUUUUUUCUGAUGCUGAGCUCUUCCAUGUCCAGACACAUACGAAAUCUUCGUAAAUAACAGCCUGUCCACAAAGCUAUAUGGAGACGCUGUUGCGCUGCUGGGUUAGCUCUUCCAUGCCCGGACGCGUAUGGAAUUCUCAAAAGCUAGCCGUUGGGAGAUGAUCUAGUGGAAGUUUGGAACAGAGGACUGGCCAAGGUAGAAGAUGUUGAUGGGUUGUAAGCAUAGAUAGCCCUGCAGCAGAGUUGUAGUAACCAAUGCAAACAAUGUUCGACAAAGCGAUUAAAAAGUCCCCCUUUUAUUUUUGAUAACAUUUAAAAGCAGAUGCAUCUACAAUGAUGAACAUUGUUGUAUAACUUACCAUGAGAUCUCCUG